rnacentral:rRNA from 1 species
CCUACGGGGGGCUGCAGUCGAGGAUCUUCGUCAAUGGGGGCAACCCUGAACGAGCGAUGCCGCGUGCGCGAUGAAGGCCUUCGGGUUGUAAAGCGCGAAAGUGGGGAGAAAAGCCGAAAGGUGUGAUCUAUCCACAGUAAGCUCGGGCUAAGUUCGUGCCAGCAGCCGCGGUAAGACGAACCGAGCGAACGUUGUUCGGAAUAACUGGGCUUAAAGGGCGCGUAGGCGGGCUGUCAAGUCUGGGGUGAAAUCCCACGGCUCAACCGUGGAACUGCCUCAGAUACUGACGGCCUCGAGGAAGGUAGGGGCGAGCGGAACGAAUGGUGGAGCGGUGAAAUGCGUUGAUAUCAUUCGGAACUCCGGUGGCGAAGGCGGCUCGCUGGACCUUUUCUGACGCUGAGGCGCGAAAGCUAGGGGAGCAAACGGGAUUAGAUACCCUAGUAGUC